rnacentral:rRNA from 1 species
CUGCACGAAGCUGGAAUCGCUAGUAAUCGCGGAUCAGCAUGCCGCGGUGAAUACGUUCCCGGGCCUUAUACACACCGCCCGUCACACCAUGGGAGUUUGUAACGCCCAAAGUCGGUGGCCUAACCUUUAUGGAGGGAGCCGCCUAAGGCGGGACAGAUGACUGGGGUGAAGUCGUAACAAGGUACC